ensembl:lncRNA
CAGUGCAUGAAAUGCAAAAGUUAAGUAAGGAAGAAGAAAGGAAAGAAGAGUGGAAAAAGGAAAGAAGAAAAGAAAGAAGAAAGGAAAGAAGAGUGAAGCUAGGAAAGAAGAGUGGAAGAAGGAAAGAAGAAAAGAAAGAAGAGUGAAGAAAGGAAAGAAGAAAGAAAAGAAAGAAGAAAGGAAAGAAGAGUGAAGCUAAGAAAGAAGAGUGAAAGAAGGAAAGAAGAGUGGAAGAAGGAAAGAAGAAAGGAACGAAGAAUGGAAGAAGAGUGGAAGAAGGAAAGAAGAAUGGAAGAAGAGUGGAAGAAGGAAAGAAGAGUGGAAGAAGGAAAGAAGAAAGGAAAGAAGAAUGGAAAAAGAGUGGAAGAAGGAAAGAAGAAAGGAAAGAAGAGUGGAAGAAGGAAAGAAGAGUGGAAGAAGGAAAGAGGAAAGA